UACGUAGGGUGCAAGCAUUACUCGGAUUUAUUGGGCGUAAAGGGCGCGUAGGCGGAAAUGCCAGUCAGAUGUGAAAUCCCGGGGCUCAACCCCGGAACAGCAUUUGAAACUACAUUUCUAGAGGGUAGGCGGAGAAAACGGAAUUCCACAAGUAGCGGUGAAAUGCGUAGAGAUGCGGCGGAACACCGAUGGCGAAGGCAGCCCCCUGGGCUGAGAUUGACGCUCAGGCACGAAAGCGUGGGGAGCAAACAGA
rnacentral:rRNA from 1 species